GACGAACGCUGGCGGCGUGCUUAACACAUGCAAGUCGAACGGACAGGCCCUGCUUUUGCGGGGUGCUCGAGUGGCGAACGGGUGAGUAACACGUGAGUAACCUGCCCUUGACUUUCUGAUAACUUCAGGAAACACGGGCUCAUAUCGGAUAGGAGCUCCUGCUGCAUGGUGGGGGUUGGAAAGAUUCGGCGGUUGGGGAUGGACUAGCGGCUUAUGCGCUUGUUGAUGGGGUAGUGGCUUACCAAGGCUUUGACGGGUAGCCGGCCUGGGAGGGUGACCGGCCACAUUGGGACUGAGGGACGGCCCAGACUCCUACGGGAGGCAGCAGUGGGGAGUAUUGCACAAUGGGCGGAAGCCUGAUGCAGCAGCGCCGCGUGCGGGAUAACGGCCUUCGGGUGGUAAACCGCUGUCGCCGGUGACGAAGCGUGAGUGACGGUAAUGGGUAAAGAAGCACCGGCUAACUACGUG
rnacentral:rRNA from 1 species